CAUGAGUACAGUUCUAGCCCAAUUUCUUCCCCCAUUAGUUUCUUCACUCCACCUUGUGUGAAGAGUAGUCAUUUAAGUGCCCAAAGCCCUGAAUCUAUAUUGAGAACUGCUGCAAAAAGCUACCCCAACACUCCAUCCAUAUUUCGAAAGCGAAAAACUGGAAGUCAAGUGCACCUGCUUCCUGCUAAAGUUGGGAAAGUAGGUCAAGAAUGUGUUGAAGAUAGGCUGCAGAGAAGAACUGAGAAUACGUCUGAAAAGGCUGGGUCUCAAGAUAAAAAUUUGUUUGACAGUCCUCAUCCAGAUAAUAGCACGUCCUUGCCUAAUGGUAAAGCUUUUAAUGCAUCUCCUCCAUACAGGUUGAAAUCCAAACGAACUGCUGUUUUCAAGUCUGUAGAGAGGCAACUUGAGUUCACUUUGGACAAGGAGAGAUGUGACAGCACUAAAUCUGUGAAUGGAAGUGCGCUUGUUUCUGAAGGUUGUCCUCAUGCAACAAAGAUGGGAGUGAC
rnacentral:misc_RNA from 1 species